rnacentral:rRNA from 1 species
GACGAACGCUGGCGGCGUGCUUAACACAUGCAAGUCGAACGGAAAGGCCCUGCUUUUGUGGGGUGCUCGAGUGGCGAACGGGUGAGUAACACGUGAGUAACCUGCCCUUGACUUUGGGAUAACUUCAGGAAACUGGGGCUAAUACCGGAUAGGAGCUCCUGCUGCAUGGUGGGGGUUGGAAAGUUUCGGCGGUUGGGGAUGGACUCGCGGCUUAUCAGCUUGUUGGUGGGGUAGUGGCUUACCAAGGCUUUGACGGGUAGCCGGCCCGAGAGGGUGACCGGCCACAUUGGGACUGAGAUACGGCCCAGACUCCUACGGGAGGCAGCAGUGGGGAAUAUUGCACAAUGGGCGGAAGCCUGAUGCAGCAACGCCGCGUGCGGGAUGACGGCCUUCGGGUUGUAAACCGCUUUCGCCUGUGACGAAGCGUGAGUGACGGUAAUGGGUAAAGAAGCACCAGCUAACUACGUG